rnacentral:rRNA from 1 species
UACGAAGGGGGCUAGCGUUACUCGGAUUUACUGGGCGUAAAGGGUGCGUAGGCGGCUCGUUAGGUCGGGUGUGAAAGCCCCCGGCUCAACCGGGGAAUUGCGCCCUAAACCGGCGGGCUGGAGUGAGAUAGGGGUGUGUGGAACUUCCAGUGGAGCGGUGAAAUGUGUUGAUAUUGGAAGGAACGCCGGUGGCGAAAGCGACACACUGGGUCUCAACUGACGCUGAGGCACGAAAGCCAGGGGAGCAAACGGG